rnacentral:rRNA from 1 species
GAUGAACGCUGGCGGCGUGCGUAACACAUGCAAGUUGAACGACGGUGCCAUGAAGUGGUAACACGGAGUGGUAUACGGAGUAGCGGACGGGUGAGUAAAGCAUGAGGAUCUGUCCUGUCGAGGGGGAUAACGUUCGGAAACGGACCCUAAUACCCCAUAGUCCGAGAGGUUAAAGGCAGCGAUGCGCGGCAGGAGGAGCUCGUGUCCUAUCAGCUGGUUGGUGAGGUAACGGCUCACCAAGGCAACGACGGGUAGCCGGCCUGAGAGGGUGACCGGCCACACUGGAACUGAGAAACGGUCCAGACUCCUACGGGAGGCAGCAGUGGGGAAUAUUGGGCAAUGGGAGGAAUCCUGACCCAGCGACGCCGCGUGAACGAAGACGGCCUUCGGGUUGUAAAGUUCUUUUAUGUGGGAAGAAUGAAGGACGUAC